AUACGGAGGGUCCAAGCGUUAUCCGGAAUCAUUGGGUUUAAAGGGUGCGCAGGCGGUUUAUUAAGUCAGUGGUGAAAUCUCGGGGCUCAACCUCGAAACUGCCAUUGAUACUGAUAAACUUGAGUUCAGUUGGAGUAGGCGGAAUGUGUAGUGUAGCGGUGAAAUGCUUAGAUAUUACACAGAACACCGAUAGCGAAGGCAGCUUACUAAACUGAUACUGACGCUGAGGCACGAAAGCGUGGGGAGCGAACGGGAUUAGAAACCCCUGUAGUCC
rnacentral:rRNA from 1 species